UCAACUGUUUUCAAAAAAAAAAAAAAAAAAUUACAUCUCUACUCGAAUAGAUUAAAAAGAAAAACCUUUCACCCUCUCCUUCUGAUUCGAAAUUGAUUCGACUGAAAUUUGGUACGUUUAGAUCUUCAGGUGAAUUAACAUGUACGCGCCUUCAUGUGUAGCUAAGAAAUAACUCAACCGCUGCAAUUUGAUGGCGCUUUGUAACCGCUGAACCGAUUUUCGGACGAACUCCUUCUACAAUUUAUGAUGUACAUCUUGUUGAUUUACCCAAGGAGGAUGGAGGGACUUACAAUUUAUUCUUAGCCUCCUCCUGACAGGAUUAUGAGGGGAUUUGGACUUCAUGCCAGAAAUAUACGCGAAAACCAGUGAUGGGGAAGCGAUAGUGCAAUGAAGGUCGGAACAAAUGUGGAAGAUCAAAUCAGCUUAACGAUAAUAUCCUACGUCUAACUGGUCCAAAGCUUUCAGGUCAGCAACUACAGCGAAAACAAGAAUGGGAAACGAUAAUUCUGACACUCUCGUCCAGCCUCAUUUAUGGGCACAAUUGACCCUUACGAUAGCUCCCAGACGACUCUAGAGCUUAUACUACCAGAUCAAAGCUAUACGAAGCUGUCGAAAUGCAAUCCCAUCUUACAAACAGCGGUGUUAUAUUCACAGCAAAAGGAGAUGUACACGUAAAAUACGGAAACAAACCCCUAAUGACCAAAAAUUAGUGCGCAAAAGAAAAACAUCUAAGCCGCUACCUAUCUACCUUUGAGAACAGAACCCUAGAGACUUACGCCAAAAAAUUAAUAAAGUUAAUUACGAAAAAGUACUUUCAUGUUGUACCAAUAAAGAAGGGUAAUAUUCAAGAAAUUAAACUAACAAGCAAAUGUUGAUGAACUUCAGAAAUACAAUGGUCACUGCAAAACGCCUUUUUUGAGAGCGGUUCCUGGAGAUAUGUUGUAGCAGCUUUAAUAACUGUUAGUUUUAUAAAUAAAAAAUCGCCAAAAUAUGUGUAUAAAUGCUCAAAAUGAUAGAGCUAAAAGUUUCCUACAGAAAAAUAUUUGAUUUAAAAGCCCUCAUUUUUUAGACUACCUUAGAAUAUAAUUAAUUCUUUGGAAAAUUCACAGUCCAUUGGACGCCGUAAAAUUAAGCCCCAUUCGUUUGGGUUUUUGUUAGAUGAUCGCAAAUAAUGCAGAAUUGUUUGAUUCGCGAGUUUCACUCUAGAGUUUGCGCGAGGCGCGCGUACAGCUGUAUUAAUGUGUUUAAUAUCGUUUCGUUCACAGCCAAGGUGAUGCAGCUAUGUAUAAAUAGUUUUAUUUAAA
rnacentral:lncRNA from 1 species